GGUGGGGUAGCUCAGCUGGUUAGAGCGCAGGACUCAUAAUCCUGAGGUCGGGUGUUCAAGUCACCUCCCCACUA
rnacentral:tRNA from 1 species